rnacentral:rRNA from 1 species
UGGGGAAUUUUGGACAAUGGGGGAAACCCUGAUCCAGCCAUCCCGCGUGUGCGAUGAAGGCCUUCGGGUUGUAAAGCACUUUUGGCAGGAAAGAAACGUCGCGGGUUAAUACCCCGCGAAACUGACGGUACCUGCAGAAUAAGCACCGGCUAACUACGUGCCAGCAGCCGCGGUAAUACGUAGGGUGCAAGCGUUAAUCGGAAUUACUGGGCGUAAAGCGUGCGCAGGCGGUUCGGAAAGAAAGAUGUGAAAUCCCAGAGCUUAACUUUGGAACUGCAUUUUUAACUACCGGGCUAGAGUGUGUCAGAGGGAGGUGGAGUUCCGCGUGUAGCAGUGAAAUGCGUAGAUAUGCGGAGGAACACCGAUGGCGAAGGCAGCCUCCUGGGAUAACACUGACGCUCAUGCACGAAAGCGUGGGGAGCAAACAGGAUUAGAUACCCUGGUAGUCCACGCCCUAAACGAUGUCAACUAGCUGUUGGGGCCUUCGGGCCUUGGUAGCGCAGCUAACGCGUGAAGUUGACCGCCUGGGGAGUACGGUCGCAAGAUU